rnacentral:rRNA from 1 species
UACGGAGGGUGCAAACGUUGCUCGGAAUCAUUGGGCGUAAAGCGCACGUAGGCGGUACGACAAGUCGGAUGUGAAAGCCCUCGGCUCAACCGAGGAAGUGCAUUCGAAACUGUCGAACUUGAGUAUGGAAGAGGGUCUCGGAAUUCCCGGUGUAGAGGUGAAAUUCGUAGAUAUCGGGAGGAACACCAGUGGCGAAGGCGGAGACCUGGGCCAAUACUGACGCUGAGGUGCGAAAGCGUGGGGAGCAAACAGG